AGAAGAACAAAACAACUCCGCAAUUUCCCAUAAUUCAAUUUCUCUUUUUCUCUUUCUCUCUCUCCCUUCGGCGAUCUUAAACUCUUAUCUGGGGCGGAGCUAGGUAGGGGCGAGGGGUUCAUCCGUAACCCCUUCGGCAAAAGAUUACACUGUGUGUUGACAAUAUGGAGCAUAAUGAGACGGGAUGCCAACCCCCUCCUGAAGGUCCUAUUUUGUGUAUUAACAACUGUGGCUUUUUUGGAAGUGCUGCAAACAUGAACAUGUGCUCCAAGUGUUACAAAGACAUGGUAUUGAAACAAGAACAAGCUAAGCUUGCUGUAUCAUCAAUUGAAAACCUUGUCAAUGGAUCGUCUGCCAGUGAGAAGGGAAUGGUUAUUGCUGGCCCCGUAGAUGUGCAACCUGAUACUAUUGAAGCACAGUCUAUAGCUUUGCCAUCAUCUCAAACUUCAAGCUCUAGUGAUAUGCCCGAUGUAAAGGCUAAGGUGGGUCCUAACCGCUGUGGCACUUGUAAGAAAAAGGUUGGCAUCACUGGAUUCAAAUGUCGCUGUGGUAACCUUUAUUGUGGAGCACACCGCUACUCAGAUAAACAUGACUGCCUGUUUGAUUACCGCUCUGCUGGCCAGGAUGCAAUAGCGAAGGCCAACCCUGUUGUUAAGGCAGAGAAGCUUGACAAGAUCUAGAAGGGGAGGGAGUAUUUGGUGAUUUGAUUUGGUCUCGAAAAGGGUCCUUCUUUGAUUGGCAAGAUAUAUCUUGAGAUCUUAUUAAUCCUGGGGGACGCAGAAGAAAAAACGAUAUGUGCAUGUUGAAGAAUUAUUAGGAGAAUUUGUGUGUUUGCUCGAUUGUCAGGUUUUUCAUUUUGCUGGUUUGAUAGCACUUUGAUUAUGUCUGUCAUAUGUCGUUCUUACUCACCUGGUAUUCUAUCAAAUAUUACAUGUCUUAUGUGCAAAUCUGGAUAUCAUGGAAAACAUCCAUCGACUUGGUUGUGUUUUGUCAUUGUAAAUUUUUCUGCAUGAUCUUUUGUAUGUAUCUAUCCAAUUUUUCGUGCCAUCUUCAG
rnacentral:misc_RNA from 1 species